GUGUGCGCUAGACUGAUGGCUUCUAAGAGUAAGAGCUACUCGCUUAUUUUGCUGCUUCUCUUUCUUUGUUUAUUAAUGCUGAGUUUUUCAACCAAAACAAUAGCAAGGAAUAUUUACCUUGCCGGUUAUGCAGCAGCUUCAGAUGAAAUGGGUCCAAGAUGGAGAGUAGUCCUAAUUGGCAGAGAACAACCUCCAUGUAAGAGUAAGAGGGGAAUAAGAGUGAUUUUCAGGAACAAGCUAGGAGAUGCUCCACGUUGCCACAAUUAUCUGUGAUUGAUUUUCAGGGAUGCGUACGUAUUGUAUGCGUGGUAUUGCAAUAGCGCUGCGAGGAUGAAGUGCAGAAAAAAAAUAAACAUGAGAUGAGACGUCAUUUAUUGUUUGUUGGUUUAGUUCAUGCAAAUUAAAAUUGUGUUAACAUAAUUCAUCUAUAAGAAUCAUUUUUAUAUAUGAUCAACUUUAUCAAACAUGUUGUAUAUAUGUAUAGUUUAUCUUUUAACGUA